rnacentral:lncRNA from 1 species
GUCCGACCCGGAGCCGAACUCGGAGCCGCUGUCGGAGUCGGAGCCGCACUCAGAACCGAUACUACACAAGCCUCGGCCCUCCGGUGUUAUGCGACCUACAGGAUUGGCGGCACCGCGCGCCGUUUCCUCUGGGUUGGCAGCGCCACGCACCACCGCCAUUCCCUCAGCGCCCCGGCCCUCAGGGCUGGCGGCGCCGCGUGCCACUGCCAUUCCCUCAGGGCCGCGACCCUCGGGAUUGGCUGCACCGCGUGCCACCGUCCCGUCGGGGUUGGCGGCGCCGCGAGCCGCCGUCCCGUCAGGGCUAGCUGCAGCACGUGCUAGCGUCACCUCCGGGCUGGCAGCACCACGUGCUACCGUCCCUUCGGGGUUAGCGGCGCCACGUGCUGCCGCCCCCUCAGGAUUGGCGGCGCCGCGCGCUACCGCCCCCUCAGGACUGCGAGCACCGGCUGCCCGGGGCCUGCGGCCGCCCUCCGCCAGCGGACUCCGCCCGCCCGCGGCGUCUGGUGUCCGCCGGCCGGCCGCCGCGGCACCGGGAGCUCGUGUGGCUGCUGAGGAGGCCAGGUCACAGAGGUGAGUACAGCAGAGGCCGCUGAGACUGGUGACGGGACGCUCUGAGGGCAGCGGCGCCAGGGUCAGUCUGCGGCAAGUGCAUGACGAGCUGUUGGAAGUGAUGUGACUUGGGACGAGCAUCACACUCAGCUGCUAUGCCAUUUUAACUCUCGCCGAUUGAAUUUACCAUUUCCGCUACAAUAUCGGCAUUUGGUGUUUUGCUUUUGAUCGCUAAGCUAAGGUACUGACAAUUGACUACCCGUGCAAGAUAUUCUAAGGUUUGUUACGUAAAAUGAGUUUUGUUUUACGUUUAUAGGCUUUGAAGUGAAUCCGUGAUAUUAUUAUUGUUUUUUAGUAUAGAAAGUUCACCAGAUCCCUGACUAGGCAAGUUCAAAUCUGUUAGUCUGAUGAUAGCUUUACGCGGACCGUUAAGUCAGUACUGGCCUAACAUCUACAGCCGAUUGUUUCGCCGUUUUCGGGCUUCGCGGAUAUGAAGUUUCGUCAAGCUCCAGAACAAAAGCAGACAAGGGCUGCACUUAGCUUGUCCACAGUCGAGCAAUUACGCUUUCGAUAUUCGUUAAAACAGACAAUCGUAGAAACACAGCUAGCAGGAGCAAAUAUAGACGCAUGAUGCGUAAAAUUGGGAACCGCCCAAGUGUUGCUGCAAACUACUUACGCUGGAGAAUCGCUGACGUCACGCGAUCCAAUGCAGCGUAUGACGUCAGCUGUGGAGUGUUGCCAGUGACGAGCAGUGCUGUGCUGUGACGCCGAGCAGCGCCCGGCGCCGUCUAUAUGUGUAGCCGCCCCGUGACCGAGCGGCCGGCCGCGUCUGUUCCAGCGUCGAGCCGGCGCCGGCGCCCGCCGCGCGCCCCUCCGGCCUGGCCUGCGCCCGCGGCUCCCGACUGGCCAUGCCCGCCUCCAGACUGUCGGGACUCGGUGGUGCGUUCACUGAUCAGCUCGUUCAGAGCGGACGGGCAGCUCUGUACCAAGCCGUACCGGCGAGGGGCUGUGCCUAUUGUGUGACUCACUGAUCUUCGUUGUGUGCUCUCAGUCAAUUAUUUUCACAUUCGUCUGCUACGUGUUUGCGGUGGACAGCCCGUUUUAACACCGAUAAUGGGAGCUUAUCCUUGUAAUGUAUAAGAGCGGGGAAGGUGGCGCUUUACCGAGCACUCCUAAAAUUAAUUGUUAUUAACUUUGCAUCGCCUACUCUACAUUGGACUCCUGUUCGGUUCGGCGCUUCUGAUUUGACUCGUUCUGCCCGGCAGGCGCGGCUGGCCGUGGGGUGAACGGCAGGGGCCCGGCUCGUCGCCAUUAGAGGCCCUACUUUGCGUGCUGCGUUUGGGCAUUAUUCGGCCGGCCAGCGCUCCCCAGGUGCUCAGCCUCCUGGGUCGUUGAAGUGCGGCCGACGGACGUCAGCGACCGCCGACGACUCGCUCUGGCUGCCGUCUGAGUCGGCAGGGACCGGCCCCUCAGUCGGCCGCCGACACCCCGUCACGAGACUGCAGCCGGGCUCAGUGCUGCGAUCGGGGUGUGCCACAGUGCAGUCAGCGGGCUGGUCACAGGACUUCAACAGCGCUGUGUCAGGAUCGGGGAGUCGGCCCACAGGGUUAUACACUGUGCAGCGGCGCGGGGGGAGGGGGGGGGGGGGGCUGGGCACUGUGUUGCACUGCAGCCGGGAACUGUGGACAGCGCAGCGAGGCAGUCGGGGAUCUGACCCAAACUACGCUAUCAGGGCGCAGUAGCACGGGCCCUGCUGCUCCGUUCUCAAAGCCUCCAGAAUGUAUUCUGUGCUCUAGGUGCACUCCCCAGCAGCUGCUGCUCGUUCCAUGCCUUUUUAAUGAAUUUAGCCUGCCUUGAAUAUUGUUCCUAGGCCGCCAUUAUCGUGUAAUUGCGCUAUUUUUAUGCAUUCUUUCCUUGUAUCUCUCGCGCACGCGUAUCUAGUCAGACGGCACGUGCUGAGAGUGGAGCGGGUAGAGUUCGGCCCGCCGCCGCCGGGUCGCGAUUUACGUUCGCCGCUGCUGUGAGCCUCUCUGCGGAGCGUAGCCGCGACUGGUAGCUAUCCUGCGUGGUGCAGAAUGUCUUAAAACGCACGCCAUAAUACAAUGCCAUUAAGUG